AGCGAACGCUGGCGGCAGGCUUAACACAUGCAAGUCGAACGCAUCCUUCGGGGUGAGUGGCAGACGGGUGAGUAACGCGUGGGAACGUGCCCUUCAGUUCGGAAUAACCCAGGGAAACUUGGGCUAAUACCGGAUACGUGCGAGAGCAGAAAGAUUUAUCGCUGAAGGAUCGGCCCGCGUCUGAUUAGCUAGUUGGUGAGGUAAUGGCUCACCAAGGCGACGAUCAGUAGCUGGUCUGAGAGGAUGAUCAGCCACAUUGGGACUGAGACACGGCCAAACUCCUACGGGAGGCAGCAGUGGGGAAUAUUGGACAAUGGGCGCAAGCCUGAUCCAGCCAUGCCGCGUGAGUGAUGAAGGCCUUAGGGUUGUAAAGCUCUUUCGUCCGGGACGAUAAUGACGGUACCGGAAGAAGAAGCCCCGGCUAACUUCGUGCCAGCAGCCGCGGUAAUAC
rnacentral:rRNA from 1 species